rnacentral:rRNA from 1 species
CCUACGGGAGGCAGCAGUGGGGAAUAUUGGGCAAUGGGCGCAAGCCUGACCCAGCAACGCCGCGUGAAGGAAGAAGGCUUUCGGGUUGUAAACUUCUUUUGUCAGGGAAGAGUAGAAGACGGUACCUGACGAAUCAGCCACGGCUCACUACGUGCCAGCAGCCGCGGUAAUACGUAGGUGGCAAGCGUUGUCCGGAUUUACUGGGUGUAAAGGGCGUGUAGCCGGGUUGACAAGUCAGAUGUGAAAUCCUGCGGCUUAACCGCAGAACUGCAUUUGAAACUGUUGAUCUUGAGUACGGGAGAGGCAGAUGGAAUUCCUAGUGUAGCGGUGAAAUGCGUAGAUAUUAGGAGGAACACCAGUGGCGAAGGCGGUCUGCUGGACAGCAACUGACGGUGAGGCGCGAAAGCGUGGGGAGCAAACAGGAUUAGAUACCCGUGUAGUC